GAUGAAGAACGCAGCGAAAUGCGAAAAGUAAUGUGAAUUGCAGAAUUCAGUGAACCAUCGAAUCUUUGAACGCACAUUGCGCCCGCUGGAACUCCGGCGGGCACGCCUGUCCGAGCGUCAUUUCAACCCUCAGGCCCCCCUUCGCGGGCGGGCCUGGUGUUGGGGCCCGGCCGCUACCCUGCGGCCGUCCCCUAAAUUCAGUGGCGGCCUCGCCGUGAUCCCUUGCGUAGUAAUGCACCUCGCACCGGAGAGCGCCGUGGCCACGCCGUAAAACCCCCAAUUUUCAAUGGUUGACCUCGGAUCAGGUGGGAAUACCCGCUGAACUUAAGCAUAUCAAAAGCGGAGGA
rnacentral:misc_RNA from 1 species